CGCACGAUAGCUAGCCCACCACUCAAAUUCAUCAACCCCUCGUUAAUACCCCCCAACACCCUGAUAUGCACAAAACAAACCAUUUACCCCCCUUAGUAUGGGAGACAGAAAAGGACCCAGGAGCCAUAGAGAAAGUACCGCAAGGGAAAGCUGAAAGAGAAAUGAAAUAAAUCGUACCAGCGCAGAGAAGCAGAGAUAAACCCUCGUACCUUUUGCAUCAUGAUUUAGCCAGAACGACUCAAGCAAAAAGCAUUAUAGUUUGAUACCCCGAAACCAAGUGAGCUACUUCAAGGCAGCUUAUUCGUAGAGCAAACCCGUCUCUGUGGCAAAAGAGUGGGAAGAACUUCAAGUAGAGGUGACAGACCUACCGAACUUGGUUAUAGCUGGUUGUCCAAGAAAUGAAUAGAAGUUCAGCCCCAUGCUUUUCUCCGCCACCUGGUUUCACCGCCUCAGACAAAGGGAAGGCAUGGGAGUUAGUCGAAGGGGGUACAGCCCCUUUGAUAAAAAAUACAACUUUGACAGCAGGGUAAAGAUCACACACAGAAAGGCGAGGUGCACUGGUGGGCCUAAAAGCAGCCAUCCUAACAGAAAGCGUUAAAGCUCGAGCAUCAACUUUAGCCCCCGAUCAAGAUAAACAAAUCUUAACCCCCUAGUUAUAUUGGACCGCCCCAUUCAUCAAUGGGGGUGAUUAUGCUAAUAUGAGUAAUAAGAAAGCUAGGACUUUCUCCUGGCACAAGUGUACCUCGGAACGAACUCGCACCGACAUUUAACGGCCCCAAUAGAAGAGGGAAGUGGGCGAUGAGUAAGAUUACCAAGAAGACCCCCCACAGAACAACCGUUGAUCCUACACUGGUGUGCUGAAUAGGAAAGACUAAAAGGGGGAGAAGGAACUCGGCAAACAUAAAAGCCUCGCCUGUUUACCAAAAACAUCGCCUCUUGCAAGAACGAAGAAUAAGAGGUACUGCCUGCCCUGUGACUAUAGGUUUAACGGCCGCGGUAUUUUGACCGUGCGAAGGUAGCGCAAUCACUUGUCUUUUAAAUGAAGACCUGUAUGAAUGGCAAGACGAGGGCUUAACUGUCUCCUCCCCCCAGUCAAUGAAAUUGAUCUUCCCGUGCAGAAGCGGGAAUACGGACAUAAGACGAGAAGACCCUAUGGAGCUUUAGGUGCAGAGCAGCUCGCGUUAAGCAACCCCGAUAACAGACUAAACAAAGCGGACCCUGCUCGGAUGCCUUUGGUUGGGGCGACCGCGGGGAGAUAAAAAACCCCCACGUGGAAUGGGAGCACCCCUCCCAGAACCAAGAGCUACAGCUCUAAGCAACAGAAUUUCUGACCACCCAGAUCCGGUAUAACCGAUCAACGGACCGAGUUACCCUAGGGAUAACAGCGCAAUCCCCUUCUAGAGUCCCUAUCGACAAGGGGGUUUACGACCUCGAUGUUGGAUCAGGACAUCCUAAUGGUGCAGCCGCUAUUAAGGGUUCGUUUGUUCAACGAUUAAAGUCCUACGUGAUCUGAGUUCAGACCGGAGUAAUCCAGGUCAGUUUCUAUCUAUGAAGCAGCUUUCUCCAGUACGAAAGGACCGAGAAAGUGAGGCCCAUGCUGAAGGUACGCCUCCCCCUCACCCAGUGAAACCAACUAAAUUGGACAAGAGGGCGCACUAGCGAACGCCCGAGAUAAGGGCAU
rnacentral:rRNA from 1 species